CUUUUAUCUCCCCAAAUAUAUCUGCCAUAUUCCCAUUGCAAUGCUUAUUCUCAAACAAAUAUCUUCUAUUUUUCAGAGUCUCUCUCUCUCUCUGUCUGUCUGUUGUUUAGGUUUUGACAUAAUUUGGUGUCAGAAGUGAGAUUGAAGCUGGCUCACCUUGGACAGAUGGACAACCCCUGAAAUUGAGUGAAUUGCAUGCCCUGAGCCCUUUGGAGCUCUCCACCUCCAUGGCUCACCUUUUCUGCCCUGGUGAAUCUCCUCUCACAUUCCUGGACUCCCUCUUUUUGAAUGCUAGCCCAGCACUUUGAGAUGAUAAUCAAUGUUUAUGGAACAGAUAAAAUUAAACUUAACAAUGGACUGCAGUCCCAGCUGUGUCAAUUAUGUGUGGUCUUGGACAAGUUAUUUUACUUCUCUGAACUCAGUUUUCUCAUUCAUAAGGUGGAAAUAAUAAUCUCUGUCUUAUGGGAUUGUUGAAAGGACUAGAAUGAAUAUAUGCAAAGCUCUUGGCAGAAAUUAAGAACUCAAUGAAGACAGAAGAGAUGUAAGUCAACAUAAUAAGUAAGUCAAAUGAUGCUGGAGUUGGGUCUUGGAAGGAAAGCAACAUUCUAAUAGAUAGGGAUACAAAGAAAAGAGAUUCCAACCAGAAUGAGUGUGAACAAAGAGGAAGCCACAGUACAGUGGGAUGUGAGCAAUUACUGAAAACUCUGCAUAGAUUUGGCUAGAGUAGUAGAGUUCUCCUUCAAGAGGAGCAGUGGCAGAAAAAGGACUGGAGGGAAGGAUGGACUCAGACACAGAGGGCAACAGGAUAAGGGCAAGGGAUGUGUGUCUCCUUGGAGUACACCAUGUGCUGCCCUGCUGUUGUCUGGGGACUGGGUGAAAGUCAAUAUUGCCCUGCUCAGGACCAGGAGACAUUGCUACCAUUGGCCCUGCUUGGAUGUUCCUGAUGCUCCAGAACUUCAAUCACUUGGAAAUUACAAGAGUUUAGACGCUCUGUACCAGAAAUGGGGCAAAAGCCGAAUAUAUAUUUAUUUCUCCUUAUAUGUAUAUAUAUAUAUAGAGAGAGAUGGGGUCUUGCUUGUUGCUCAGGCUGGUCUUGAACUACUCCUGGCCUCAAGCAAUCCUCUUCCUGGCCUCCCAAAGUGCAGAGA